GCCGAUGUAGCUCAGUGGUCAGAGCAGCGGUUUUGUAAACCGCGGGUCGUGGGUUCGACUCCCUCCAUCGGCU
rnacentral:tRNA from 2 species